AACUGCUGGAUGGUCAAGGUCAUCUACUUUUGAGCGAUUCUAUCAUAAGCCCAUCCCUUCUCAGUCUGAUUUCAAUGUUAUCCUAGAAGAUAAAGCUGAUCCUUAGGUCAAGCUCCUCUCUACUGAUAUGGACACAGAUUGUACCUUUAGGCCUUUAUAGUGAUUCUUUGAGUAUACUUAUUUUCCUAGUUAUUGCCCUUGCUAUGUACAGCAACGUGUGUUGUUCAUAUUUACUUUCACAUUCCUUAUUGUUUGAUCCAAUUUAUUGUUUCUAUACAAUAUACCAAUAAUUGUACAUCCACUUUGGAAGCUAUGCUGCAAAAAUUUUGGACCGAGUGACACAUCACGUGAAUGAGGUUUUAUACCUUUGAAAAAUUGCUAAAUUAUUAAUAAUUAAUGAGAUUCAUUGGCCAAAUACAUUGUCAUAUAUUCAUCUCCCCAUUAGUGGAAUCACAAUCUCACAUCACAUCUUAGAUGCUUGCGAGAUUAAGGAUUGGAUAGCAGAACUACACAGACUAGGUCCACCUAAUAUUGUAUUAGCAAUUGCUGGAAAUAAAUGUGACCUUGAAGAUAAAAGAGAAAUUCUAGCUGAACAAGGUCAGACUUAUGCAUCAGAAGUUAAUGCCAUAUUUGGAGAGACUAGUGCUCUCACUGCUAGGAAUGUUGAGGAAAUGUUCAUUGAAAUAACUCGUAAGUUACCACCAGAUUGUUUAACUAGUUUACCAGCUGGUGCCUCUCUCUUAA